AGUAUUGUGGCUGAAUGAUAGGCGAUAAAUUGUAAAUUUAUUGAUGAAUGAAUUUUCCAAUACUA
rnacentral:tRNA from 1 species